rnacentral:rRNA from 1 species
AUGAACGCUGGCGGCGUGCCUAAUACAUGCAAGUCGAACGCUCCAUUUCAUUUCGGUGGGAUGGAGAGUGGCGCACGGGUGAGUAACACGUAGCUGACCUGCCCUUCAGAGGGGGACAACUGCUGGAAACGGCAGCUAAUACCCCGUACGCUCGCGAGGACCAGAAGACUCGUGAGGAAAGCCGCAAGGUGCUGAAGGAGGGGGCUGCGACCCAUCAGCUAGUUGGUAGGGUAACGGCCUACCAAGGCGAGGACGGGUAGGGGGCCUGAGAGGGUGACCCCCCACACUGGGACUGAGACACGGCCCAGACUCCUACGGGAGGCAGCAGUAAGGGAUAUUGCGACAAUGGACGAAAGUCUGACGCAGCAACGCCGCGUGCGGGAUGACGGCCUUCGGGUUGUAAACCGCUUUUCGGGGGGAAGAGGAAGGACGGUACCCCCGGAAUAAGUCUCGGCUAACUACGU